UCAAGUUAUUAAGGGUGCAGGGCGGAUGCCUUGGCACUAGGAGCCGAUGAAGGACGUGAUAAGCUGCGAUAAGCUUCGGGGAGUUGCACGUAAACUUUGAUCCGAAGAUUUCCGAAUGAGGAAACUCACUUAGAGUAAUGUCUAAGUAUCAUUAAGUGAAUACAUAGCUUAAUGAGGGGAACUCAGGGAACUGAAACAUCUAAGUACCUGAAGGAAGAGAAAGAAAUUCGAUUCCGUAAGUAGCGGCGAGCGAACGCGGAUUAGCCCAAACCAAUAAAGUUUUCUUUAUUGGGGUUGCGGACAUAUCAUAACGAAGAGGUAUCGUAAUUGAAGAGGUUUGGAAAGACCCACCACAGAAGGUAAUAGUCCUGUAUGUUAAACGAGAAGACUUCAGAUAUGAUCCAGAGUACCACGGGACACGUGAAACCCUGUGGGAAGCAGGAGGGACCACCCUCCAAGGCUAAAUACUACCUAGUGACCGAUAGCGUAUAGUACCGUGAGGGAAAGGUGAAAAGAACCCCGGGAGGGGAGUGAAAUAGAACCUGAAACCCUGCACUUACAAGCUGUGGAAGCACAUUUCUUGUGUGACCGCGUACUUUUUGUAGAACGGGCCAACGAGUUACGUUAAGUAGCAAGGUUAAGCACUUAAGGUGUGGAGCCGUAGCGAAAGCGAGUUUUAACUGAGCGUUCAGUUACUUGACGUAGACCCGAAACCGGGCGACCUACCCAUGAGCAGGAUGAAGCGAAAGUAAAAUUUCGUGGAGGUCCGAACCCACGAGCGUUGAAAAGCUCGGGGAUGACUUGUGGGUAGCGGUGAAAUUCCAAUCGAGCCCGGAGAUAGCUGGUUCUCCCCGAAAUAGCUUUAGGGCUAGCCUCAAGGUGAGAGAUACGGAGGUAGAGCACUGAAUGUCCUAGGGGGUAUUGCACCUACCGAAGACUAUCAAACUCCGAAUGCCGUCAUCUUAUACUUGGGAGUCAGACUGUGGGUGAUAAGAUUCAUAGUCGAAAGGGCAACAGCCCAGAUCGUCAGCUAAGGUCCCUAAAUGUAAGUUAAGUGGUAAAGGAUGUGGGAUUGCACAGACAACCAGGAUGUUGGCUUAGAAGCAGCCACUCAUUCAAAGAGUGCGUAAUAGCUCACUGGUCGAGUGAUCCUGCGCCGAAGAUUUCCGGGGCUAAAACUUACUACCGAAGCUACGGCAUCAGUAAUGAUGGGUAGGGGAGCUUCCCAUACGGGUUGAAGCAUGACCGUAAGGACAUGUGGACAGUAUGGGAGUGAGAAUGUUGGCAUGAGUAGCGAGAUGUGGGUGAGAAUCCCACAGGCCGUAAACCCAAGGUUUCCAGGGGAAGGUUCGUCCGCCCUGGGUUAGUCGGGACCUAAGCUGAGGCCGAAAGGCGUAGGUGAUGGACAACAGGUUGAUAUUCCUGUACUACCGAUAACCGUUUGAGAGAAGGGAUGACACAGUAGGAUAAGCUAAGCACACUGUUGGUUAUGUGUGCCCAAGCAUUGAGGCAGUCAAAGUAGGCAAAUCCGCUUUGAUAAUGCUGGGAUGUGAUGGGGAGCGAAAUUUAGUAGCGAAGUAGCUGAUUUCACACUGUCAAGAAAAGUCUCUAUCGAGGUUAAAGGUACCCGUACCGCAAACCGACACAGGUGGGUGAGGAGAGUAUCCUAAGGCCAGCGAGAGAACUGUUGUUAAGGAACUCGGCAAAAUGACCCCGUAACUUAGGGAUAAGGGGUGCCACCAUCAGGUGGUCGCAGAGAAUAGGCCCAAGCGACUGUUUACCAAAAACAUAGGUUUCUGCUAAGUCGCAAGACGAUGUAUAGGAGCUGACGCCUGCCCGGUGCUGGAAGGUUAAGGGGAUCUGUUAGAGCAAUCGAAGCAGUGAACUUAAGCCCCAGUAAACGGCGGCCGUAACUAUAACGGUCCUAAGGUAGCGAAAUUCCUUGUCGGGUAAGUUCCGACCCGCACGAAAGGCGUAACGAUUUGGGCACUGUCUCAACAACAGACUCGGUGAAAUUGUAAUUCCGGUGAAGAUGCCGGAUACCUGCGACAGGACGGAAAGACCCCAUGGAGCUUUACUGUAGCUUGACAUUGGGUCUUGGUACUACAUGUACAGGAUAGGUGGGAGGCUUUGAAACCAGGACGCCAGUUUUGGCGGAGCCAUCCUUGGGAUACCACCCUUGUAGUACUGGGACUCUAACCAUAGGCCAUGAAUCUGGUCUUGGGACACUGUCAGGUGGGCAGUUUGACUGGGGCGGUCGCCUCCCAAAAGGUAACGGAGGCGCUCAAAGGUUCUCUCAGUACGGUCGGAAAUCGUACGUAGAGUGUAAAGGCAAAAGAGAGCUUGAUUGCAAGACAUACAGGUCGAGCAAGGAUGAAAAUCGGACUUAGUGAUCCGGUGGUUCUGCGUGGAAGGGCCAUCGCUCAACGGAUAAAAGCUACCCUGGGGAUAACAGGCUUAUCUCCCCCAAGAGUCCACAUCGACGGGGAGGUUUGGCACCUCGAUGUCGGCUCAUCACAUCCUGGGGCUGUAGUAGGUCCCAAGGGUUGGGCUGUUCGCCCAUUAAAGUGGUACGCGAGCUGGGUUCAGAACGUCGUGAGACAGUUCGGUCCCUAUCCGUCGCAGGCGUAGGAAAUUUGAGAAGACCUGUCCUUAGUACGAGAGGACCGGGAUGGACGUACCUCUGGUGUACCAGUUGUUCUGCCAAGGGCAUGGCUGGGUAGCUAUGUACGGAAUGGAUAAGCGCUGAAAGCAUCUAAGCGCGAAGCCAACUUCAAGAUAAGAUUUCCCACCGCAAGGGUAAGACCCCAGAAAGACUAUCUGGUUGAUAGGUCGAAGGUGUAAGUGCAGCAAUGUAUUUAGCUUAUCGAUACUAAUAGGUCGAGGACUUGACCAA
rnacentral:rRNA from 1 species